UUUUUAUGGAGAGUUUGAUCCUGGCUCAGGACGAACGCUGGCGGCGUGCCUAAUACAUGCAAGUCGAGCGAACAGAGAAGGAGCUUGCUCCUUUGACGUUAGCGGCGGACGGGUGAGUAACACGUGGGCAACCUACCUUAUAGUUUGGGAUAACUCCGGGAAACCGGGGCUAAUACCGAAUAAUCUAUUUUACUUCAUGGUGAAAUACUGAAAGACGGUUUCGGCUGUCGCUAUAAGAUGGGCCCGCGGCGCAUUAGCUAGUUGGUGAGGUAACGGCUCACCAAGGCGACGAUGCGUAGCCGACCUGAGAGGGUGAUCGGCCACACUGGGACUGAGACACGGCCCAGACUCCUACGGGAGGCAGCAGUAGGGAAUCUUCCACA
rnacentral:rRNA from 1 species